CUCAAGUAUGUGCGAAUGAGCACAAUGGCAUGCAAGCGAAUAAGUCCGUCUCAGGUCCCAGUGGUUCAUCACUGUUUCAUCGGAUCUAAAACCCGGAAUACAGCACAUGUCCCAAAGGCCUGCCUCUAUGUCAUCGUGUCUAAAACACGGAAUAUAGUAACUGUCUUAAUGGCCUAUCUCUAGGUCAUCAUGUCUAAAAUAUGGAAUAAUAGUAACUGUCUCAAUGGCCUAUCUCUAUGUCAUCAUGUCUAAAACAUGGAAUAUAGUAGAUUUCCAGUGGCCUAUCAUCA
rnacentral:lncRNA from 1 species